rnacentral:lncRNA from 1 species
GCCUCCGGCGCGGCCGGGGCGGGCUGGAGCUGCCACGUCUGCUGCGCCGAGCGGCCGGCCCGCGCCUCGGCUCCACGUGUGGCGGAGCGGGGAAGUUGCCGGCGGCCGGUUCGGGCUCUGCCCGUCCCUCCGACAUGAGUUCGGUUCAUAGUCCUUUGGUUCUCAUCGCUGGUUACCUGUAAGAGAUCGGUUUUGUUUUCUGUUCUUUCGAAACCGGCUAUGGUUCAAACCGGCUUUUAAAGCAGCAGGAAUUGGAUGUUCUCAGCCACGGAGAUUUCCAUUCCAAGGUCCCCAUCCUGCCUGAGGAAACCGAGGAAGUCAAAGGGAGGAGAAGAUUAUGGACCUAUCUGUUACUUCAGUGCUGUGGCGUUUCUAUGACUUCCAUCUCCUACACAGUUACAAGCUCUGCAGGAAAGGGAUAUACAACUUGUGUUGAAAACUUUGAGGUUUCCUGUUUCUCUGAGCUUUCUGCCUAAGCCACUUAGCUUUUACUUUGUAUUUUCAUGGCCCUGGGAAAUCUACGGCCUCCCCUGUUCC